UUCCUGGUGGCUCAGAUGGUAGAGAAUCCAUCUGCAACGUGGGAGACCUGGGUUCGAUCCCUGAGUAGGAAA
rnacentral:tRNA from 1 species